ACGGAGGGAGCUAGCGUUAUUCGGAAUUACUGGGCGUAAAGCGCGCGUAGGCGGUCUAUUAAGUCAGAGGUGAAAUCCCGGGGCUCAACCCCGGAACUGCCUUUGAAACUGCUAGACUAGAAUAUUGGAGAGGUCAGUGGAAUUCCGAGUGUAGAGGUGAAAUUCGUAGAUAUUCGGAAGAACACCAGUGGCGAAGGCGACUGACUGGACAAUUAUUGACGCUGAGGUGCGAAAGCGUGGGGAGCAAACAGG
rnacentral:rRNA from 1 species